GUGAGUAGUUCAGAGUUUGAUCCUGGCUCAGGAUGAACGCUGGCGGCGUGCAUAACACAUUCAAGUCGAACGGUGAAGUGACUUCGGUCACGGAUCAGUGGCGGACGUGUGAGUAACGCGUGAAUAACCUGCCUGUAUGUGGGGGAUAACAACCGGAAACAGUUGCUAAUACCGCAUAAUAUAUGAGAGUCGCAUGUCUUUCAUAUCAAAGAUUUAUUGCAUACAGAUGGAUUCGCGUCCGAUUAGAUAGUUGGUGAGGUAACGGCCCACCAAGUCGACGAUCGGUAGCCGGACUGAGAGGUUGAACGGCCACAUUGGAACUGAGAUACGGUCCAG
rnacentral:rRNA from 1 species